AUCUACACUGAGUCUGUAUGUUUAAGGUGAAAGCUAUGACAGCAGACCAAUGGGUAUCGCUGGAAACGGCGGUGCCUCCCGUGUUUGGAAAGGUGCAGG
rnacentral:ncRNA from 1 species